rnacentral:rRNA from 1 species
AAUGAACGCUGGCGGCAGGCCUAACACAUGCAAGUCGAACGGCAGCACGGGGGCAACCCUGGUGGCGAGUGGCGAACGGGUGAGUAAUACAUCGGAACGUGCCCAGUCGUGGGGGAUAACGUAGCGAAAGCUACGCUAAUACCGCAUACGAUCUACGGAUGAAAGCGGGGGAUCGCAAGACCUCGCGCGAUUGGAGCGGCCGAUGGCAGAUUAGGUAGUUGGUGGGGUAAAGGCUCACCAAGCCGACGAUCUGUAGCUGGUCUGAGAGGACGACCAGCCACACUGGGACUGAGACACGGCCCAGACUCCUACGGGAGGCAGCAGUGGGGAAUUUUGGACAAUGGGCGCAAGCCUGAUCCAGCCAUUCCGCGUGCAGGAUGAAGGCCCUCGGGUUGUAAACUGCUUUUGUACGGAACGAAACGGCUCUCUCUAAUACAGGGGGCUAAUGACGGUACCGUAAGAAUAAGCACCGGCUAACUACGUGCCAGCAGCCGCGGUAA